rnacentral:lncRNA from 1 species
UAACCUGAAAGUCCCUCUCUCUCUCUAAACUUAAGGUCCAUCUCUCUCUCUCUCUUUUCUCUCUCUAAGACAAUCUGAAGGGGGGACGACAGGUACCCAUCUCUCUUCUCUCUCUCUCUCUCUCUAACACAAUCGGCAGUGAAGGGUGGUUGUGGUGGUGGGUUAGGGGCGGUGGUGGGUGAUUUAAUGGUGGGUGAAGGUGAGGGGGUGGUUGUGGUGGUGGGUUAGGUGCGGCGGCAGUGGGUGAUUUGGUUGCGGUGGCGUUGGGUGGAGGUGUAAGGGUGAUUGUGGUGGUGGGUUAGGUGCGGCGGCAAUGGGUGAUUUGGUUGCGGCGGCGUUGGGUGGUGUGUGGAAGUGAAGGGGCGGUUGUGGUGGUGGGUUAGGUGCGGCGUCGUUGGGUGGUGGGUUAGGUGCGGCGUCGUUGUGUGGUGGGUGGAGGUGAAGGGGUGGUUGUGGUGGUGGGUUAGGUGCGGCGACGGUGGGAUGUUGUGAUCGACGGCGGUGAGUGAUUUGCCUGGUUUUUUUUUUUGGCCACAAAACACCAUUGAGAUGUAUGUUUGAGCUCACUUCAAUUAUGACCAGCUUCUAGCUUCUUUCUGGUACUUCAAUUAUGACCAGCUUCUUUGUGACGAUGAAGGAUGGUAGUGGUGGUGGUGGAGGUGGAGGAUGGUGGUGAUAGGUGGUUCCUAAUUUCAGAAAUAAAUAAAUAUAUAUAUAUAUAUAUAUGGUUAU